CAGCUGUAGUUUGAUCUUAGUUUGGUUUUAAAUUAUUUAGCAUAUGCCUUUUGAUUGAGUAGUUUAGUUCCUAAAUAAGCAAUUUACUGAAAUGAAAAGAUGUACUUUAGCCAUUGUAUUUUUUUUACUUGAUUCUUGUAGCUUUUUCUUUCUCUCUUUCCUUUUUGUGUCUUGUACUUUGUAUAAUAAGCUUUGACUCUUUUUAAAUUUUCUUUUGUGUGUCUUAUAGGUAUUUUCUUUGUGGUUACCAUGGAAAUUAUAUAAAACAUCUUAAAGUUACAACAAGAGAUGGGAUUUCACCAUGCUACUCAGGCUUGUCUUGAACUCCUGGGCUCAAGCGAUCUGCCUGCCUCAGCCUCCCAAAGUGCUGGGAUUACAGGUGUGAACCACCGUGCCCAGCCAGGCCUCAAUGUUUCUGUGGACAAAUUCACUGCUAUGUCUUCUCAUUUUACCCAAGACCUUCUGCCAGAGCAGGGCAUACAAGAUGCAUUCCCAAAAAGAAUACUGAGAGGAUAUGGAAAUUGUGGCCUUGAUAAUUUAUAUUUAAGGAAAGACUGGGAAAGUUUAGAUGAGUGUAAGUUGC
rnacentral:lncRNA from 10 species